rnacentral:rRNA from 1 species
GGAAGUAAAAGUCGUAACAAGGUCUCCGUAGGUGAACCUGCGGAGGGAUCAUUACCGAGUGUGGCGCUCCGGCGCCUCCCUCCAACCCCAUGUCGAAACGACUCUGUUGCCUCGGGGGCGACCCGGCCUUCGGGCGUCGGGGCCCCCGGUGGACACCUUCAUAACUCUUGCAUCUCUUGCGUCUGAGUGAUACAUACAAUCAAUCAAAACUUUCAACAACGGAUCUCUUGGUUCAGGCAUCGAUGAAGAACGCAGCGAAAUGCGAUAAGUAAUGUGAAUUGCAGAAUUCAGUGAAUCAUCGAAUCUUUGAACGCACAUUGCGCCCCCUGGCAUUCCGGGGGGCAUGCCUGUUCGAGCGUCAUUACACCACUCAAGCCUGGCUUGGUAUUGAGCGCCGCGGCCUGCCCGCGCGCUCCAAUGUCUCCGGCUGAGCCGUCCGUCUCUAAGCGUUGUGAAUAGCGAUCGCUUGCGAGGCCCGGGCGGUUCGACGCCGUUAAACCCCCCAUUUUCCAUGGUUGACCUCGGAUCAGGUAGGGAUACCCGCUGAACUUAAGCAUAUCAAUAAGCGGAGGAA